rnacentral:lncRNA from 1 species
CUGUAUAUAUAUAAAGUUUUUCCCUGAUUUGAAACAUUCAUUACACAAAUAUUAUGCCCAGGUAUAUUUCUAGAAUUUUUUAGCACGUUUAUCACAACUGAUAAAUUUUUUACUAAACAAUAAAUAUUUCCGCACCUUUUUUCACAUUAGAACACUUCAACAUGAGCUCCGUUUGUUACAACGGAGAAGGUCUUGUUGAUGCUUGAUUUCUCUCCAUUUAUUAACAUCCUUAUCAGUCAUCGUCGAAAAGCAUUAGUUUUCCUUUGUUUGAAAUUUCGUAUCAAGAACUGGUAUCAAAUGCAUUUUAUAACCCAUAUAAAAAUAAACCCAUAUAACCUAUAUAAAAUAAAGAGAAGAGAAAACUCAAGAGGGAAUAAUAUUGAGUUGACCAUGGUAAUCUGGUUGGACCAUCCCUCCCAAUCCAUCGGUGAUUUGUCACCAAGAACUGACGAAUAUCUAAAUCCCAGCGUGAUAGCGCGCGAUCUUAUUGAAUAAUUAUCUGUGGCUGAAAUUCUUCUGAUUGAGGUACAACAUCUUCCUAGACGUUAUUUUGAUACUGAAAAUUGCAGCGCUGAUUACAUCGUCCAUAUAUUACCAUUACAUCAUCCAUAUAUCUA